rnacentral:tRNA from 1 species
UAGCUGAGUGGAUAAAGCGAUCGCAUUUGAAGCGAAAGGUACUGGGUUCAAGUCCCAG